AACGAACGCUGGCGGCAUGCCUAACACAUGCAAGUCGAACGAGACCUUCGGGUCUAGUGGCGCACGGGUGCGUAACGCGUGGGAACCUGCCCUUAGGUUCGGAAUAACUCCCCGAAAGGGGUGCUAAUACCGGAUAAUGUCUUCGGACCAAAGAUUUAUCGCCUUUGGAUGGGCCCGCGUUGGAUUAGCUAGUUGGUAGGGUAAAAGCCUACCAAGGCGACGAUCCAUAGCUGGUCUGAGAGGAUGAUCAGCCACACUGGGACUGAGACACGGCCCAGACUCCUACGGGAGGCAGCAGCGGGGAAUAUUGGACAAUGGGCGAAAGCCUGAUCCAGCAAUGCCGCGUGAGUGAUGAAGGCCUUAGGGUUGUAAAGCUCUUUUACCCGGGAUGAUAAUGACAGUACCGGGAGAAUAAGCUCCGACUAACUCCGUG
rnacentral:rRNA from 1 species